UAUGAACUAUAUUUUAACCUAUCUAUCUUUGUUUUAACUUCGAGAAAGUAAUUAUCAGCUGAAUUUCAAGUAUCAAAUGUAAUUAUGUAUUUUUGUAUUGAGUGAUAUUUCAGAUGAGUGCGUGUAUUGUAGUGUUUCAGAAUUGAGAAUACAAAUCAGUGCGUGUACCACACAAUUGAAAAUAUUUGCAGGACAAUAACCAUUGAAAAUUGAACGUUUUUGGGAAUGGUCAAAGAGCCAAAAACUGAAUAUCGACAGACUUGAUUGUCAACGGUGGAAACAUCGACAGAUAUAAGAUGGUUGCAAAUACUAGUUGAUAUUAAAUGGAUAGUUUUUCCAGCAGUUAUUUACAAUCUGAAAUUUCACACACUCAUCGUAUACCAAAGUUAUGAAAAGCAUUUGCUUAGAAUCGUAUAAAAAAUACAAAUAACCGCAAGCAUCCGGUCAUAUAUUAUGAAAUAAACGUAUGCUCAAGUAGGUAUACACGAUACCAAUUCAUCUACAUGUUGAGUGUUGACCGUGAUGCAUUGUUGGAUCUUCGACGGUAAUAUUAUAAUGUACCUGUAUUGUGUAUGCACAUACCUUGGACUCAGGAAGGUGAGAUCAAAUCGAUGGAAACGAAUAGUAGACAGGAAUGAAAAUGCAGUGGACGAAAUUAUAGAUGUGUGCGGAAACAAAUGGGCUAUAGACGUUUUAGUAAAUCACAACUUCAUAGUUCAUGGGAUUUGUGGCUAUCGUGCGCGAAUGAUGGAUGGAAUCAAUUGGCCGUAAAAAAAUUAAAUUUCUACACAGCUCCUGUACUAAAUAUAACUAUAUAUAAGUAACUAUUAGGAUUCUGUGUACUGUUUUUUUCCGCCGAAUUCUUGACGUCAAUCCAACCAUAAUUGAAGCUUCUUUUGCCGUGAUGCAAACGGAAAAUGCACAAUGGACUAAAAAAAAACUAUAUAGUGCUUGUUAUAACAAAAGUAGUCAGUUGUACUUAACAAUUUUAUCAUGACUUGGUGAGAGAAAAUUCAAAAUCUGUAACUUAUACAAACCAAUAAUGUAUUCAUAAUAGUACAUUUAUAUAAUAAUAAUAAUAUUUUAACAUCACUAUAAAACUACUGACAACGAGCACAAUGUUUGCGACAGCGUACCAUCAUUGACACACAUCAUACAUUUUCAUAAGUUUUUGAACUUUAAAUGCAAUUGCACC